rnacentral:rRNA from 1 species
GAUGAACGCUGGCGGCGUGCCUAAUACAUGCAAGUAGAACGCUGAAGCUUGGUGCUUGCACCGAGCGGAUGAGUUGCGAACGGGUGAGUAACGCGUAGGUAACCUGCCCCUUAGCGGGGGAUAACUAUUGGAAACGAUAGCUAAUACCGCAUAAAAGACGAUAUCGCAUGAUAUUGAUUUGAAAGGUGCAAUUGCAUCACUAAGAGAUGGACCUGCGUUGUAUUAGCUAGUUGGUGAGGUAACGGCUCACCAAGGCGACGAUACAUAGCCGACCUGAGAGGGUGAUCGGCCACACUGGGACUGAGACACGGCCCAGACUCCUGCGGGAGGCGGCAGUAGGGAAUCUUCGGCAAUGGGGGCAACCCUGACCGAGCAACGCCGCGUGAGUGAAGAAGGUUUUCGGAUCGUAAAGCUCUGUUGUAAGAGAAGAACGAGUGUGAGAGUGGAAAGUUCACACUGUGACGGUAACUUACCAGAAAGGGACGGCUAACUACGUGCCAGCAGCCGCGGUAAUACGUAGGUCCCGAGCGUUAUCCGGAUUUAUUGGGCGUAAAGCGAGCGCAGGCGGUUAGAUAAGUCUGAAGUUAAAGGCUGUGGCUUAACCAUAGUACGCUUUGGAAACUGUUUAACUUGAGUGCAGAAGGGGAGAGUGGAAUUCCAUGUGUAGCGGUGAAAUGCGUAGAUAUAUGGAGGAACACCGGUGGCGAAAGCGGCUCUCUGGUCUGUAACUGACGCUGAGGCUCGAAAGCGUGGGGAGCAAACAGG